CUAACUUGUGCUUUCAACAAACACUGCUCAAAUCAGCUGCAGCAUCACUAAACCAUUUCUCCUGACUCUCAUCUCAGUGUUUCCAAGUCUGGAAGAGGAGGGAAGGCCAAAUGGAAGGCUGUGCAAGAUUACAACACAGGAGCUACAUGGCAAGGUGGCAGAGAAGCGGAGAUGGGCAACAACUACACACCAGACCAAAGUGGGCUGCCAGGGGGAUUCAACCUAUCAGAAGCACUCAGAUGAUCUCAAGGUGAGCUUCCACAAACAUCUCCAGAAUAGGAGAAGGAGAACAUGUAAAUCACAC
rnacentral:lncRNA from 1 species